rnacentral:lncRNA from 1 species
UCGGCCAGCUCGAAAUCAUUAGCCCAAGGAAUCUUGUUGCUAAGAAUUUAUUGUUCUUUGAAGCUUCUAUUUUCUAUGAAAGGAUUGAAGAUGUUCUCUGUUCUAUUCAUGUUAUCGUGAAGGAUGUUGCAUAUAAAAUCUUGAUCAAUAUCAAGGAUGUUAGGGCUGCAACACCUCAUUCCUCUAACAUCUCUCCUAGGCUUGUUUGGAAAGC